rnacentral:rRNA from 1 species
UACGGGGGGGGCAAGCGUUGUUCGGAAUUACUGGGCGUAAAGGGCGCGUAGGCGGCCGAUCAAGUCGGGGGUGAAAGCCUGUGGCUUAACCACAGAAUGGCCUCGAUACUGUUUGGCUUGAGACCGGAAGAGGUUAGUGGAACUGCGAGUGUAGAGGUGAAAUUCGUAGAUAUUCGCAAGAACACCAGUGGCGAAGGCGGCUGACUGGUCCGGUACUGACGCUGAGGUGCGAAAGCGUGGG